GCGCUGGUUAGCUCAGAGGUUACUUCAUUGAAACUCAAUCUCUCGGUCCGCGGGCCGUAGGUUCGAACCACGGGCAAUGUCCAGCGUUUUC
ensembl:vault_RNA Vault Vault RNA